AUGCAUGCACACCUUGGUGGCGGAACAGAGCAGCUCCAGCGAGUUCUUCCUGACAACAGCUACACCCCUUCCGUACCCGAGCACAUGGGUGUGCUAAGGGAAGCUUCGCGCACCAAUUGGAGAAACAGCCAGCUUAUUCAAGCCCAGGGAUGGGGAAAGCCAGCACACGCUCUAAUGACUAAUCUAGACGCCAACGGGUGUAUUACAGGGGUGAUACCAGAGCAUCAACCGCCCCUUGCCGUGUGGGCUUAUGAUGGAUACACGGUACAGGAUGCUAGCCGUGCUGGAUCACUUCGUUUAACAUACUGCGAUAUCUGGAUUUUUCCGGGUCUGGCCCACCGCUAG
rnacentral:rRNA from 1 species